rnacentral:rRNA from 1 species
AGCUCCAAUAGCGUAUAUUAAAGUUGUUGCAGUUAAAAAGCUCGUAGUUGGAUUUGUGGCUGUCGCAUGCGGCCCGCAUUCGUGCGGUGUUUGCUAGCGUCGCCAUCCUUGGGUGGAACCUGUGUGGCAUUAGGUUGUCGUGCAGGGGAUGCCCAUCGUUUACUGUGAAAAAAUUAGAGUGUUCAAAGCAGGCUUACGCCGUUGAAUAUAUUAGCAUGGAAUAAUAAGAUAGGACCUUGGUACUAUUUUGUUGGUUUGCGCACCAAGGUAAUGAUUAAUAGGGACAGUUGGGGGUAUUCGUAUUCCAUUGUCAGAGGUGAAAUUCUUGGAUUUUUGGAAGACGAACUACUGCGAAAGCAUUUACCAAGGAUGUUUUCAUUAAUCAAGAACGAAAGUACGC